GGGGCCGAUUUGGAUUCGACGCCGGUGAUGAAACUUUAGGUGCAUGCCGAGUUGGUAACAGAACUCGUAAAUCCACUGUUGCAACUUUCUAUAGUUGCCAAUGACGAAACCUACGGGGAAUACGCUCUCGCCGCGUAAGCGGUGCUAGCCUUCCUUCUGGUAGCUUCGGCUCCAGCAAUCAUCAGGGGAUGCCUGUAAACCCGAAAUGAUUGUCAUAUAGAACAGGAUCGUCGCCUAGUACGUUGUGGACGAAGCGACUAAAACUUACACAACUCGCCCAAAGCACCCUGCCCGUCGGGUCGCUGAGGGUUAACUUAAUAGACACGGCUAAGCAUGUAGUACCGACAGCGGAGUACUGGCGGACGGGGGUUCAAAUCCCCCCGGCUCCACCA
rnacentral:tmRNA from 21 species